ensembl:lncRNA
AUUCCCAUGUGGCUCAGGCCCAUCAGCACAGUCAAAUCAUAAACCGUGAAACCUCGAAGAGCGUGACUCCAUCCUAACAAUUAUCCUAGAGAUCCUACAGCACAUACUGUGGCUGAUAAGGCCAGUUAGAGCUCAUUUUUGCCCAGACCUCAGUGUCAUCCCCGUUAUUGAACGCUAUGGCAGCAGGUGACAAGGUGAGUAAUAUCAGGCAGCUGUAAGCCACCAGGGAGGGGGUCUCGCACAAUUUCUCCCCCCAGAGAGUCGCCCCGCUCCCCUAAGCCGCACCGCAGGCUCUAUUAA